UUUACUGUCAUUUAACUAUAUACAUGCAUAUGGUCAAACGAGACAACAUUUCUCCGGACCAGGGUGUAAAGCACAGUAGUAUACAUAACACAUACAAACUUAUGAAAGUAAGGAUGAAAUCUACCAAUGAAUUACACAUAAACAAAAGUGCAUAAACUAAACAUUGUAAAGUUCAGAACAGAUUAACCAGAGAUGCUUUGAAUGCGAUGUGGCAGGGAGUUCAGAAACCUAAUGGCCUGAGGGAAGAAACUGUUUUCCAUCCUGACCGUUCUCUUUGUGCAUCAGAGUCUCCUGCCUGAUGGUAGAAAGUCGAAGGGGAUGGUGGAUGGAUGGAUGGGAUCUUUAAUAAUACUAAGGGCCCUGAGAAAGCAACACUCCUGAUAUACAGUAUAUUCCCGAUGGAUGGUAGGGAGGUCCCUAUGAUCCACUGGGCUUUUCUCUCAGACAUUUGUAGGGACUGCUGGUCCAAUGCUCAGCUGUUCCCUAUCAGAUUACCAAUGCCUCUAUGCCUUCAGGAGGCUAAAGAAAGUUGGCAUUGUAGUGAUAGUUAAUAGUGUUAUUCCUAUGCCUCUCCCACGUGGGAGGAGUUCACAUCCUGUACAAGCACAGUUGUCAAUAAAGUUCAGUUGGGCUUCCUGGUUUGCUCAGCGCUCUCCCUCAAUAUCAAACACAACAGGCGUGUCACCCUUGGCCCUUACCAAUUUUCAUCGAUAGACCAUAGAAAGCAAUCCAUCUGCUCCGCUCUUCCGGUGACCAUGAAACCGCAGGGAGUUGGGGAUACAGCUCAACACAUCAUGGAAACCCACCUCCUACACCGUGGCCCCCCCCCCCACCACGGACUCUAUCUACGUUUCUACUGCCUUGGUAAAGUAACCGGGAAAAUGAAAGAUGUCGCUCACCCCAGACAUUCCCUCUGCUCCUCCCUCCCAGCAGGCAGAAGAUACAAAAGCCUGAAAACACAUAUUGCUAGGCUCAAGGCAGCCUCUAUCCUGCCGUUAUGAGACUAUUGAACAGUUCCCUAGUAUGAUAUAAUUGACUCUUGACCUCACUAUCUACCUUAUAAUGACCUUUAACCCUAAUAUUUACCUACACUGCACUUUCUCUGUAACUGUAACACUUUACUCUGCAUUCUGUUAUUGUUUUACCUGGUCCUGCCUCAGUGCCCCACGUAAUCACCUGAUCUGUACACAAAACAGACUUUUCUCCGUAACUCCGUACACGUGACAAUAAUAAACCAAUUCCAGUUCCAUUUCCAACACUCGCCAGGUCACAGAACCGUGGGAGGAAGGCAGGUCUGCAAAGCUGCUGAGGCCGCCCGACCAGCCGAGUUCCUCCAGCACUUUGUGUGUGUUCCCUUCAUUAAAGAAGGAAUUUGUACGCCUUGCAUCAUCCUGCUGCCAGAAAACACCACGUUUUUAUGACAUAGCAAUGACGAUAAAGCUGGCUCAGAGGUGGCUGAGGGUAAACUUUCAAGGAGGCCUUGGGCUGACCAAAGGGUCGCAUAGUUUAGAGGGGCUGAUUGGCCUUGUUCCCUUGGCUCUGCUGGCAUGAAGCCCAGGAUCUGCUCAGCUGACUGAGCAGCCUCUGGCUCGUGGACAAAUCAAAUGUUCCUCUCUCAGUGCCCGCCUCCUUCAGCCCAAGACAAAGAUGGAUGAGGGCCAAACUUCAACAGCAGCGUUCCAGCUGUUUGUCCCCGAGAGGGAGAGGCAGAAACAGAAACCAACUCUACUACACACUAAACCGUCUUUAUAUCCCCCGACCCUCUCUCCUUCUCUCUCUAAAAUCCCCUACAAAACCCCCUCCCAACAAAUCACUCAGCCCUUUCAGGAACCUGCUCACUCUCCAACACAUUACACACCUCUGCAAAACCCUUUCGCCUUUCUGCAGAAUCCCCCCAUCCCUCUCCGAAACCCUCUCCUACCUCUCCAGAACCCCCUCAUACUUCUCUGAAACCCUUUACCACCUCUCCAGAAAUUCCUCACACUCUCCGAAACUUUCCCACCUCAUCAGAAACCCCUCAUCCCUCUCCG